AUCAGUGUCAGUGUGUUUCGAAACUAUUUUUUCAGUGAAUUUGCUAUGAUAUUCUUAAAGUGUGGUGUUGUAUUUUUAGUGCGUAAGUGGGUGAUUGUGGACAUUUUUGGAAUCCAUAUCCGUCUCUGCAAGUUUAUUACAUACGGAGAACGAGAAGGAUUUGAGCACGGAUUUUACUGCUCUUCAAAUAUUUUAGAAGAUUAAAAUAAUGCGUUGCCGUUGUACCGCGCGCCGUUGACAACGCCGUUGGCGACCGGCGCCGCCGCCUUCUCGUCGGGGCCAUGCUGCGUCGCCCACGCCGCUGCCGCCGCCGCUGCCGCGGCUGCCGCUGCGCAGACGCUGCAC